rnacentral:lncRNA from 1 species
GAGGCCCCUUACAGUAUCUUGUGGGCCUUCAAGCUCUCCAGAUAGUCAUAAGGGUCAAUGGUUCCAUCAUACACUCCCAUAGAUGGUGCUUAGAAGUGACAAGGGAUCGACUCUCUGAUGAUCUACUCCAAGAACGAAAGGUGAAUAGUGACAAGGACUUUCCCCUCAGAGACAACUGGUGCUAACAGAGGACCUCAAGAUAGUAGUUCACCUCUCGGAUCUUUUGAUCUGGCUUAUCCCACCAAUCGGAACUCCACCAAAGCUGGCAGCUUUUGAAUCCUCUAACACAUGAAUCCUAUGAGGAAGAAGAGAAUGAAAGAGGAGGAGCAGGUUCAUGCUUCUUGCCUCAUAUACUAUCCUUGGGGUGAGGACAAUGAUGAAGCGAAGCUCGCUCGGGGCUUCGAUGAGUGGAUCAGGAGAUCUGGGGAACUCCUUUUAGGCUAGCAGGGUGAGACUGGUUCCUCUUCCUUAGGCUCCUCGAGGGAGGAAGAUAAGAGCAUACUAGGGUCGGGUGAUUGCUCGGUGUGGGAAUGGGCUGAUGAGUUGACUACUGUAGAUCGUGCACUAGAGUAGUUAGUGCUUGAACCUACUGUAGGAGCUGUUGAAAUUGCUCGACAGUGACAGCUGGUGUAAUGGAUGCCUUCAGAAUGUUGAUAUCCUAGUGACCCAAGUUAGAUCAGUGGUUUCCAUAGGUACCUCUGGGUGGGUGGCAGAGGACGUCGCCAUAGUCUUCUUGCUCUUC